UACAGAGGGUGCGAGCGUUAAUCGGAGUUACUGGGCGUAAAGGGCGCGUAGGCGGUGCUAUGAGUGUGAUGUGAAAGCCCCGGGCUUAACCUGGGAAGUGCAUCGCAAACGAUAGGACUAGAGUAGAUGAGAGGGUGGCGGAAUUUCCGGUGUAGCGGUGAAAUGCGUAGAUAUCGGGAGGAACACCUGUGGCGAAGGCGGCGCACUGGACCACAACUGACGCUGAGGCGCGAAAGCUAGGGGAGCAAACAGG
rnacentral:rRNA from 1 species